rnacentral:rRNA from 1 species
AUUGAACGCUGGCGGCAUGCUUUACACAUGCAAGUCGAACGGUAACAGGUCUUCGGAUGCUGACGAGUGGCGAACGGGUGAGUAAUGUAUCGGAACGUGCCCAGUAGUGGGGGAUAACUACUCGAAAGAGUGGCUAAUACCGCAUGAGAACUGAGGUUGAAAGCGGGGGACCUUCGGGCCUCGCGCUACUGGAGCGGCCGAUAUCAGAUUAGGUAGUUGGUGGGGUAAAGGCCUACCAAGCCGACGAUCUGUAGCUGGUCUGAGAGGACGACCAGCCACACUGGGACUGAGACACGGCCCAGACUCCUACGGGAGGCAGCAGUGGGGAAUUUUGGACAAUGGACGCAAGUCUGAUCCAGCAAUGCCGCGUGCAGGACGAAGGCCUCGGUUGUAACGUAGCUUUGUACUAGAGCGAAAAGGACUACUCUUUAAUUACUAGGGGCGUCGAUGACGGUACCGUAA